AUUUGAUUGCAAAAGUCUGUUUUCUUUUGAUAAAUGUAAAAGUUAUUGCAAAAGAAUGUUUUAUUUGCCAACUCAACGUUGCAAACGAAUAAGUCUGCUGUUUAAUAGUAAUAUUCUUCAAAGGCCUUUUUAAGUAGAAUAGUUAAUUUUUUUUCCUUAAAAAAAUGUUAGAAUAUGCUAUAACUGAGCGACAAAGCUUUUUUUAAUGGCAAAUUCGUCAAGAGAUUCAAUUUACAAAUUUAGGAGAAAAAUACCGUAGUAAUGAAAAGAUAUAAAAAGCAUUAUUGAUUAAUUUUUUUUCUUUUUCUUCAUUUUCAGUUGAUGGCACUCUAUCAGAGUUUAAACAAGGACUCGAGGCACUCGGAAAAGACAAAAAAGCUGCUAAGAAACGUAAGUAAAUUCGUUAAAUUUUCGUUUUUUACAAAAUGCAUAAGUUCUGAAAAGAAAUUAGUAUUAAUCCUUUGAGGCAGAUGGAACACUUGUCUACCUUUUUUUUUCUGACGCUAUAAUUACAAGCAAAAAUAUAUUUCAAUAUUUUUUAAUCUAAUAGUUAUUA